GGUGGCUCAGUGGUAGAGUGCUUGCCUCGCCUGCAAGAGACCCUGGGUUCGAUUCCUCAGCACCA
rnacentral:tRNA from 1 species